GAGAUGUCUGAAAAGAUGCUAAAGUGUCAAAAUACCUAAUAGGUCUAAAGAUAAAUAGUCUAAAUAGAUGGUCUGUAUGCUUAAGGGAAAUAGGUAAGUGUAAACAGAGAUAAUAUGUAAGUCUAAAUAGAUAUUCUAUAUAAUAAGUGGAAACAGAGAUAUGUGUAAGUAGAGAUAAUAUGUCUAUGUCUAAAUAGAUAUUCUAUAUAAUACAUGGAAAUAGAUAUAUGUGCAAAUAUGUGUGUGUCUCAAUAGAUAUUCUAGACCAUGUGUUGCAGGUCAUCCCAGUCCAUCACAGCCAUGGAGUGCACAACCGAGCGAGGCUGCGUGUCUAGGAAGUUUCAUCUCGUAAGAGCUGUGAGACACCCACGUAUUCUCUCAGGUGGAGGACAGCCAAGUGACCAGAGUUACAGAAGAGGGAGGAGAGCAGGAGAAAGAAGGGUCUGAACUGACAAAUUCUUCUGGCAGCGCCGAGAGCAAGAGCUGUGCCCGUGGAGGUCCAUGGUGGAGCAGACAUGCACCCGCAGCCCGUGGAGGACCCCACGCCAGAACAGGUGGAUGUGCCUGCAGGAACCUGUGACCCUGUGGAGAGCGCACACUGGAACAGGCUCCUGUCAGCAGCUGUGGAGAGGAGCCCAUGCUGGAGGAGGCUUGCUGGCAGGACCUGUGGCCCCGUGGGAAGGACCCCACGCUAGAGCAGAAGAAGAACAUGAGGAGGAAGGAGCAGCAGGGACAACAUGUGAUGAACUGACCGCAACCCCUGCUCCCUGUCCCCCUGCACUGCUUUGGGGGAGGAGGUAGAGAAGUGAGGAGUGAAGAUGAGCCCAGGAAAAAAGAGAGGGGUGGGGGGAAGGUGUUUUUUAGAUUUGUUCUUUUUCUCAUGAUCUUACUCUGAUUUUGACUGACAAUAAAUUAUAUUGAUUUCCCCAA